rnacentral:lncRNA from 1 species
UUUUUUUUUUUAAGAAAACAUCUUUUAUUAGAGGGGUGUGCAUUAGUAUCAUGGCACAUGUGUGGAGGUGGUCAGAGGACAACUUGGGGAGUCCUUCCACCAUGGGAUCAAACUCAGGGUCAUUGGCUUGGCAGAUAGCACCCUUAGCCACUGAGGCGUUUUAUGAUCCUUGGAUUAUUUCCUUUUCCUAGGUACUGCCUAGGUAGGCUGGUCAUGAAUUAUCCUGGACCUCAACGGCCUUACUUUUGGGGUCACAGCACCACCAGGCCCAGUGUGCCAGCUUUUGAAAAAUAUGUCAACUCUAAAGUACAAAUAAGGCUUUUUACAUUAAAAAAAAAAAAAAGACUUUAUUUUUAGUUAUGUGUGGGCGUGCAGGUGUCCACAGAGGCCAGAAGAGGGUGCUGGAUCCCCUGGAGCUAAGUUGUGAACUGCUGAUGGGGGGUGCUGAGAAUGGAACUCUAUGAAAACAGGAUGUACGCUUCACCUCUGAGCCACUUCUCCAGCCCCUCUGGUGUUCCACCUGCUCCCCUCCCUAGCCUAAGCCCAUCUUUGAUUUCCUGCUUUCUUUAACCCUAACCUGGAAACCCUCCCAAACUAGGAACAGACCUGUGUGUGCCCCAGACAUAGGUCUGCCAGCUUCUCUUCACAGGCUGUCUGUGGGGUUUAUGGGUCUUGAAGAGAUCCAAGGCACAUUGGGCCUGGCCCCGUGGCACAGUGGAGGACAUAGAGUCCGAUGUACACACCCCAGCGCUGGGGUGGGUGAAGUGUGGGAUGGAGAUUCGCAGAAUGUGAAAGACACCAGAAGUGGUCCCCACAAAACCUGUGGCUUUUGUCUCUACCUUUUCCACUUGCAGAGGCUCAGAGAGGUGAAAUGCCAGCCAGAGAUCACACAGCAAGCCCUGCAAAGGGGCAGGGGUUUCUAACCCUAGGAGAGGUAGCCCUUGGAAAGCCUUCAGCUCUUCCCUGCUGGGUGUAGUGGUUCAUGCCUGUCAUCAUGGCACAGCUGCUAGGUUGAAGACAAGCAGAGUGAGACCCAUCUCAAACAGCUAGGCAAGCUGGAACACACCUGUUAUGCCAGCGUGUGGCAGGUAGAGGCAGGAGGAUCAGAAGUUCGGAUCAUCCCUAUUCUGUUUGGUUGGCUUUUAUUGUUUGAAAAGGUUUCUCUGUGUAGCCCUGGCUGUUCUGGAACUCACUCUGUAGACCAGGCUGGCCUGAAAUUCAGAGACCUACCUGCCUCUGCCUUCUUCGUACUGGGAUUAAAGGCUUUGGUCAUC